rnacentral:rRNA from 1 species
UCAAGCGCGAGAAGGGUAUUCGGUGGAUGCCUUGGCGCUCAGAGGCGAUGAAGGACGUGGCACGCUGCGAUAAGCUGCGGGGAGGGGCGAGCACCCUUUGAUCCGUAGAUUUCCGAAUGGGGAAACCCACCUGACAGAAUUCGAUAUUAUGAGGCCGUUUCGGCGGCUUCAUAUUCGAGUUCUGAAAGCAGGUAUCAAACCCUGAAUAAAAUAGGGGUUUGAAGCAAACCCGGGGAACUGAAACAUCUAAGUACCCGGAGGAAAGGACAUCAAUUGAGACUCCGUUAGUAGUGGCGAGCGAACGCGGACCAGGCCGUGCUCUGAAAGAAUGGGAAGCAGUUGGAAAGCUGCGCGACAUGGGUGAUAGCCCCGUACCAGUAAAAUGAAGAGCCGUUAGAGUAAGGCGGGACACGUGAAAUCCUGUCUGAAGAUGGGGGGACCACCCUCCAAGCCUAAGUACUCCUGAGCGACCGAUAGCGAACAAGUACCGUGAGGGAAAGGUGAAAAGCACCCCGACGAGGGGAGUGAAACAGACCUGAAACCGGAUACCUACAAACAGUCGGAGCCCCCUUGAGGGGUGACGGCGUACCUUUUGUAUUAUGGGUCAGCGAGUUAGCGUCGCGAGCAAGCUUAAGCCGUUAGGCGUAGGCGCAGCGAAAGCGAGUCUGAACAGGGCGUUCAGUUCGCGGCGUUAGACCCGAAACCAGUCGAUCUAGCCAUGGGCAGGUUGAAGGUGCGGUAACACGCACUGGAGGACCGAACACACGCCUGUUGAAAAAGUCGGUGAUGACCUGUGGCUAGGGGUGAAAGGCUAAUCAAGGCUGGAUAUAGCUGGUUCUCCGCGAAAGCUAUUUAGGUAGCGCGUCGGAUGUAUUCCUCAGGGGGUAGAGCACUGGAUGGGUGAGGGGGUCUCAACAACUUACCGAGCCUAACCAAACUCCGAAUACCUGAGAGAACUGUCCGGCAGACACACGGCGGGUGCUAACGUCCGUCGUGGAGAGGGAAACAACCCUGACCAACAGCUAAGGUCCCCAAGUCAUGGCUAAGUGGGAAAGCAUGUGAGACUUCCAUAACAACCAGGAUGUUGGCUUAGAAGCAGCCAUCAUUUAAAGAUAGCGUAACAGCUCACUGGUCUAAUAGAGGUCUUGCGGCGAAGAUGUAACGGGGCUCAAGCCAUGCACCGAAGCUUUGGGUUCGCAGCAAUGCGAGCGGUAGCGGAGCGUUCUGUUUGCAGUGAAGGAGAAGGGGCAACCGACUCUGGAGCGUGCAGAAGCGAGAAUGCUGACAUGAGUAGCGACAAAGCAUGUGAGAAACAUGCUCGCCGAAAGUCCAAGGGUUCCUGCUUAAAGGUAAUCUGAGCAGGGUGAGCCGGCCCCUAAGGCGAGGCCGAAAGGCGUAGUCGAUGGGAAUGCGGUUAAUAUUCCGCAGCUUGGAGAGUGUGACGGAUCUUUACAGUUGUGCGUCCUCAUCGGAUUGGGCGUGCAGCCGCGAGGUCCCUGGAAAUAGCCCUCCAUAUGAACCGUACCCGAAACCGACACAGGUGGACAGGAUGAGAAUUCCAAGGCGCUUGAGAGAACCAUGUUGAAGGAACUCGGCAAAUUGCCUCCGUAACUUCGGAAGAAGGAGGCCCCGUCUAUGGGCAACCAUUGGCGGGGGGCACAGGCCAGGGGGUAGCGACUGUUUAUCAAAAACACAGGGCUCUGCGAAGUCGCAAGACGACGUAUAGGGUCUGACGCCUGCCCGGUGCUGGAAGGUUAAAAGGAGAUGUGCAAGCAUUGAAUUGAAGCCCCAGUAAACGGCGGCCGUAACUAUAACGGUCCUAAGGUAGCGAAAUUCCUUGUCGGGUAAGUUCCGACCUGCACGAAUGGCGUAACGACUUCCCCACUGUCUCCAACAUGGACUCAGCGAAAUUGAAUUCCCCGUGAAGAUGCGGGGUUCCCGCGGUCAGACGGAAAGACCCCAUGAACCUUUACUAUAGCUUCGCAUUGGCGCCAGGCACGGAAUGUGCAGGAUAGGUGGUAGGCUUUGAAGCGGGGACGCCAGUCUCCGUGGAGCCAUCCUUGAGAUACCACCCUUUCCUUGUUUGGCGUCUAACCGCGGUCCGUUAUCCGGAUCCGGGACCCUGCGUGGUGGGUAGUUUGACUGGGGCGGUCGCCUCCCAAAGAGUAACGGAGGCGCGCGAUGGUGGGCUCAGAGCGGUCGGACAUCGCUCGUCGAGUGCAAUGGCAAAAGCCUGCCUGACUGCGAGACAGACAAGUCGAGCAGAGACGAAAGUCGGUCAUAGUGAUCCGGUGGUCCCAUGUGGACGGGCCAUCGCUCAACGGAUAAAAGGUACUCUGGGGAUAACAGGCUGAUAACGCCCAAGAGUCCAUAUCGACGGCGUUGUUUGGCACCUCGAUGUCGGCUCAUCACAUCCUGGGGCUGUAGCAGGUCCCAAGGGUUCGGCUGUUCGCCGAUUAAAGUGGUACGUGAGCUGGGUUCAGAACGUCGUGAGACAGUUCGGUCCCUAUCUGCCGUGGGUGUAGGAGACUUGAGAGGAGCUGCCCCUAGUACGAGAGGACCGGGGUGGACGCGCCUCUGGUGGACCGGUUAUCGCGCCAGCGGUACAGCCGGGUAGCUAUGCGCGGAAGAGAUAACCGCUGAAGGCAUCUAAGCGGGAAACUCGCCUCAAAACCAGGUCUCCCUGAGAGCCGUGCAAGACCAGCACGUCGAUAGGUCGGAUGUUUAAGCGCAGCAAUGCGUUCAGCUAACCGAUACUAAUCGCUCGAUAGGCUUGAUUCG